GGAUUGAAUAACAAUGAUGCUGAUGAUACCGCAUGCACAAAUAGAUCUAACUGGGAUCUGAAUACUCCCAUGGAUUCAUGGGAUUCUGGUGAAGAUUUUCCUGUUCAAGAUGCAAGUCAAGUUGAUCUGUUACGUAAGACAUCUAGUUUACCAGACAUAAAGCUGCCUAUUAGUUCUGCUUCUGUUACGGGUUCUAAUGGUGAUAAAGGGAAGCAAGUUGUUGGAUCUAGUGAGCAGGAAUUUAAUAUUCCCUUCUCAAUACAUCCUAGCCUACCAUACAAGCCUGUGGAUGGGCUUCAUCUUAGUCUUGGUAGUACUUUACUGCGAGGGUUUGACUCCUCUGUACUU
rnacentral:misc_RNA from 1 species